GAUGAACGCUGGCGGCGUGCCUAAUACAUGCAAGUAGGACGCUGAAGCUUGGUGCUUGCACCGAGCGGAUGAGUUGCGAACGGGUGAGUAACGCGUAGGUAACCUGCCUCUUAGCGGGGGAUAACUAUUGGAAACGAUAGCUAAUACCGCAUAAAAGUCGAUAGCGCAUGAUAUUGAUUUGAAAGGUGCAAAUGCAUCACUAAGAGAUGGACCUGCGUUGUAUUAGCUAGUUGGUGAGGUAACGGCUCACCAAGGCGACGAUACAUAGCCGACCUGAGAGGGUGAUUGGCCACACUGGGACUGAGACACGGCCCAGACUCCUACGGGAGGCAGCAGUAGGGAAUCGUCAGCAAGGGGGGCAAACCUGACCGAGCAACGCCGCGUGAGUGAAGAAGGUUUUCGGAUCGGAAAUCUCUGUUGUCAGGGAAGAACGAGUGUGAGAGUGGAAAGUUGCCUCUGUGACGGUAACUUACCAGAAAGGGACGGCUAACUACGUG
rnacentral:rRNA from 1 species